GGAAUGAAACGCUAGCUAACAGGCUUAACACAUGCAAGUCGAGGGGGAAACGACAUCGAAAGCUUGCUUUGAUGGGCGUCGACCGGCGCACGGGUGAGUAACGCGUAUCCAACCUGCCCACCACUUGGGAUAACCUUGCGAAAGUAAGACUAAUACCCAAUGAUAUCCCACGAAGGCAUCCGAAUGGGAUUAAAGAUUUAUCGGUGAUGGAUGGGGAUGCGUCUGAUUAGCUUGUUGGCGGGGUAACGGCCCACCAAGGCAACGAUCAGUAGGGGUUCUGAGAGGAAGGUCCCCCACAUUGGAACUGAGACACGGUCCAAACUCCUACGGGAGGCAGCAGUGAGGAAUAUUGGUCAAUGGGCGAGAGCCUGAACCAGCCAAGUAGCGUGCAGGACGACGGCCCUAUGGGUUGUAAACUGCUUUUAUAAGGGAAUAAAGUGAGUCUCGUGAGACUUUUUGCAUGUACCUUAUGAAUAAGGACCGGCUAAUUCCGUG
rnacentral:rRNA from 1 species